UACGGGGGGAGCAAGCGUUUGUUCGGAUUUACUGGGCGUAAAGGGCGCGUAGGCGGUCGUGACAAGUCACUUGUGAAAUCUCCGGGCUUAACUCGGAACGGUCAAGUGAUACUGUCGGACUAGAGUACAGAAGGGGCAACUGGAAUUCUCGGUGUAGCGGUGAAAUGCGUAGAUAUCGAGAGGAACACCUGCGGCGAAGGCGGGUUGCUGGGCUGACACUGACGCUGAUGCGCGAAAGCUAGGGGAGCGAACGGGG
rnacentral:rRNA from 1 species